UACGAAGGGGGCUAGCGUUGUUCGGAAUCACUGGGCGUAAAGGGCGCGUAGGCGGCUGUUCAAGUCGGGGGUGAAAGCCUGUGGCUCAACCACAGAAUUGCCUUCGAUACUGGACGGCUCGAGACCGGAAGAGGUCAGUGGAACUGCGAGUGUGAGGUGAAAUUCGUAGAGUAUCGCAAGAACACCAGUGGCGAAGGCGGAGCU
rnacentral:rRNA from 1 species